UACGUAGGGUGCAAGCGUUGUCCGGAAUUAUUGGGCGUAAAGAGCGUGUAGGCGGUCCGGUAAGUCAGCUGUGAAAGUCAAGGGCUCAACCCUUGAAUGCCGGUUGAUACUGUCGGGCUAGAGUCCGGAAGAGGCGAGUGGAAUUCCCGGUGUAGCGGUGAAAUGCGCAGAUAUCGGGAGGAACACCAAUGGCGAAGGCAGCGCGCUGGGACGGUACUGACGCUGAGACGCGCAAGCGUGGGGAGCAAACAGG
rnacentral:rRNA from 1 species